rnacentral:lncRNA from 1 species
GGUCCCCUCCGGGUCCCCUCCGCCGACGGGAGCGCGGCCGGGCUGCCAGGCGGGCAGUUUUGAAGAGUCGAUCUUCAUAAUACAAAUCCCCCGGCUUCGCCUCCCCGCCAGCCGCGCGAGCCAGCUUUUUAAUUGAACCCCGGGGAUUUGGCCGCAGCCGAAAGCCCCGGUUCGGGCCCCAGUGUCGUGGGUCCCUGGAAAGCAGGCCAGCGGAUAAUUAUCCCUCACUGCAAUCCGCAGAGCUGGCCUAAUCCGAAAGCUCAAGUGCCCGAAUAAGGCUGCAGCAAGUCACUGACUCGAAGUUAGGACAAAGUCAGCUGCAGAGUGCACGGUGAAAGAACAGAUACCACUAAACGCCAAGACGGGAAGAUGAGUGAUACAAGCAGCUACUGGCUAGCUGCGUUCAAGCUGCGACGCAUUCCAUUUAUUUUAAUCGCUCCUUCAUUUCGGAAGAAAGCUGGGGAGACGAGGGCAGAGCUACUUCUGCCAGCUCCGUGGGCAUCCGCAGUGCCCCGGCGUGCGGGAGCCCCCGGCGGGGCCGAGACACGAAGCGCGCAGGAGGCGGCAGCGGCAGGGCGCCCGGCCCGGCAGAGCACCUUCCUCUUCCUCCUUCUCCCCUCACAGCCUGCAUUUCGGACCAGCAAGGUGCGUUUCUGUGGGCUGAUUUGUUUGCUUUUAACCAGAAAAGUGCAAAGAUAGCAAAGAACCGAUAAAGCUUUAAACUUAAACUACUC